AUUACCAGGGUUUUUGUGAAAAGUUCAGUCUUGAUCGGUAUUCACAUUUAUCCUGCCAGCAGGAGGAAGUCAGCAGCCACACAAGCACUAAAUAGCACCAAGAUGACAGAAAGAGCUCUGGAGCUUCCUCGCUAUGAAAUAACAAAUAGGAAAGAGAUGUCUGAUGAUGAUCCUUGUUCUGGAAUUUACGCCAAUGUCGAUCCCUAUGACAACGGUGAUUGGGAUGAUGCUAUAUACGGCAAUGUGUAGGACGUGGAAGACCAUCUGCAGUCCCUCUGUGGGUUUUCUGUGUUUGUAAGGGCAGUUUUAAUGAAUCCUUGUAUUUUCAAAUAUAUCAGUAAAACAUUUUUUCUUAUCCUGUAAAUGACAUUUGCUUUAUCUUAUAAAAUGUUGUUCAUGCCCAAUUUUAUCUUUAUUGUACACAUUUGUUUGUAGCUGUUAUUCUUUUGAACAGUAUUCAAUGGAAAAAUGACCAUUAUACUAUUACAAUCUUUAAUCUGGAUAUAUGUUUGUCAUUGUUUGUUAUAUAGUAUCGCCAAGUUACAACAAAUAAUACAAAACUUG